CCUACGGGUGACAGCAGUGGGGGAUAUUGCACAAUGGGGGAAACCCUGAUGCAGCGACGCCGCGUGUGGGAAGACGGUCCUCUGGAUUGUAAACCACUGUCCCCAGGGACGAAGAUGACGGUACCUGGGGAGGAAGCUCCGGCUAACUACGUGCCAGCAGCCGCGGUAAUACGUAGGGAGCAAGCGUUGUCCGGAAUUACUGGGUGUAAAGGGAGCGUAGGCGGGAUGGCAAGGUUGGUGUUAAAUCUACCGGAUCAACUGGUAGUCGAACUCAAAACUGCUAUUCUUGAGUGAAGUAGAGGCAGGCGGAAUUCCUAGUGUAGCGGUGAAAUGCGUAGAUAUUAGUAGGAACACCAGUGGCGAAGGCGGCCUGCUGGGCUUUUACUGACGCUGAGGCUCGAAAGUGUGGGGAGCAAACAGGAUUAGAUACCCUUGUAGUC
rnacentral:rRNA from 1 species